rnacentral:rRNA from 1 species
CUCCCGGUGAUCCUGCCGGACCCGACUGCUAUCAGAGUGGGACUAAGCCAUGCGAGUCAACGCAGCAAUGCGUGGCAUACGGCUCAGUAACACGUAGUCAACAUGCCCAGGGGACGUGGAUAACCUCGGGAAACUGAGGAUAAACCGCGAUAGGCCAAGGUUUCUGGAAUGGACACUGGCUGAAACCUACAUGGCCCCUGGAUUGGACUGCGGCCGAUCAGGCUGUUGGUGAGGUAAUGGCCCACCAAACCUGUAACCGGUACGGGCUUUGAGAGAAGGAGCCCGGAGAUGGGCACUGAGACAAGGGCCCAGGCCCUAUGGGGCGCAGCAGGCGCGAAAAUUCUGCAAUAGGCGAAAGCUUGACAGAGUUACUCUGAGUGAUGCCCGCUAAGGGCAUCUUUUGGCACCUCUAAAAAUGGUGCAGAAUAAGGGGUGGGCAAGUCUGGUGUCAGCCGCCGCGGUAAUACCAGCACCCCGAGUGGUCGGGACGAUUAUUGGGCCUAAAGCAUCCGUAGCUUGUUCUGCAAGUCCUCCGUUAAAUCCACCUGCUCAACAGAUGGGCUGCGGAGGAUACUACAGGGCUAGGAGGCGGGAGAGGCAAGCGGUACUCAGUGGGUAGGGGUAAAAUCCUCUGAUCCACUGAAGACCACCAGUGGCGAAGGCGGCUUGCCAGAACGCGCUCGACGGUGAGGGAUGAAAGCUGGGGGAGCAAACCGGAUUAGAUACCCGGGUAGUCCCAGCUGUAAACGAUGCAGACUCGGUGAUGGGUUGGCUUUGCGCCAACCCAGUGCCGCAGGGAAGCCGUUAAGUCUGCCGCCUGGGGAGUACGGUCGCAAGACUGAAACUUAAAGGAAUUGGCGGGGGAGCA